rnacentral:rRNA from 1 species
UACGUAGGGUGCGAGCGUUGUCCGGAAUUAUUGGGCGUAAAGAGCUCGUAGGCGGUUUGUCACGUCUGCUGUGAAAUCCCGAGGCUCAACCUCGGGCCUGCAGUGGGUACGGGCAGACUGGAGUGCGGUAGGGGAGAAUGGAAUUCCUGGUGUAGCGGUGGAAUGCGCAGAUAUCAGGAGGAACACCGAUGGCGAAGGCGGCAUCCUGGCCCUGUCCUGACGCUCAGGGGCGAAAGCGUGGGGAGCAAACCGG